GAGACUGGAACUCCUGGUGUAGCGGUGAAAUGCGCAGAUAUCAGGAAGAACACCGAUGGCGAAGGCAGGUCUCUGGGCCAUUACUGACACUGAGGAGCGAAAGCAUGGGUAGCGAACAGGAUUAGAUACCCUGGUAGUCCAUGCCGUAAACGUUGGGCACUAGAUGUGGGGGACAUUCCACGUUCUCCGCGUCGUAGCUAACGCAUUAAGUGCCCCGCCUGGGGAGUACGGCCGCAAGGCUAAAACUCAAAGGAAUUGACGGGGGCCCGCACAAGCGGCGGAGCAUGCUGAUUAAUUCGAUGCAACGCGAAGAACCUUACCAAGGCUUGACAUGCACCGGACGACUCCAGAGAUGGGGUUUUCUUCGGACUGGUGCACAGGUGGUGCAUGGUUGUCGUCAGCUCGUGUCGUGAGAUGUUGGGUUAAGUCCCGCAACGAGCGCAACCCUUGUUCUAUGUUGCCAGCACGUCAUGGUGGGGACUCAUAGGAGACUGCCGGGGUCAACUCGGAGGAAGGUGGGGACGACGUCAAAUCAUCAUGCCCCUUAUGUCUUGGGCUUCAAGCAUGCUACAAUGGUCGGUACAAUGGGUUGCGAAACUGUGAGGUGGAGCGAAUCCCAAAAAGCCGGCCUCAGUUCGGAUUGGGGUCUGCAACUCGACCCCAUGAAGUCGGAGUCGCUAGUAAUCGCAGAUCAGCAACGCUGCGGUGAAUACGUUCCCGGGCCUUGUACACACCGCCCGUCAAGUCACGAAAGUCGGUAACACCCGAAGCCAUGUGGCCCAUCCUCGUGAGGGAGCUGUCGA
rnacentral:rRNA from 1 species